GAAUGCUGACAUAAGUAACGAUAAAGCGGGUGAAAAGCCCGCUCGCCGGAAGACCAAGGGUUCCUGUCCAACGUUAAUCGGGGCAGGGUGAGUCGACCCCUAAGGCGAGGCCGAAAGGCGUAGUCGAUGGGAAACAGGUUAAUAUUCCUGUACUUGGUGUUACUGCGAAGGGGGGACGGAGAAGGCUAUGUUGGCCGGGCGACGGUUGUCCCGGUUUAAGCGUGUAGGCUGGUUUUCCAGGCAAAUCCGGAAAAUCAAGGCUGAGGCGUGAUGACGAGGCACUACGGU
rnacentral:rRNA from 1 species